rnacentral:rRNA from 1 species
AUACAUGCAAGUCGAGCGAACAGAGAAGGAGCUUGCUCCUUUGACGUUAGCGGCGGACGGGUGAGUAACACGUGGGCAACCUACCUUAUAGUUUGGGAUAACUCCGGGAAACCGGGGCUAAUACCGAAUAAUCUGUUUCACCUCAUGGUGAAAUAUUGAAAGACGGUUUCGGCUGUCGCUAUAGGAUGGGCCCGCGGCGCAUUAGCUAGUUGGUGAGGUAACGGCUCACCAAGGCGACGAUGCGUAGCCGACCUGAGAGGGUGAUCGGCCACACUGGGACUGAGACACGGCCCAGACUCCUACGGGAGGCAGCAGUAGGGAAUCUUCCACAAUGGGCGAAAGCCUGAUGGAGCAACGCCGCGUGAGUGAAGAAGGAUUUCGGUUCGUAAAACUCUGUUGUAAGGGAAGAACAAGUACAGUAGUAACUGGCUGUACCUUGACGGUACCUUAUUAGAAAGCCACGGCUAACUACGUGCCAGCAGCCGCGGUAAUACGUAGGUGGCAAGCGUUGUCCGGAAUUAUUGGGCGUAAAGCGCGCGCAGGUGGUUUCUUAAGUCUGAUGUGAAAGCCCACGGCUCAACCGUGGAGGGUCAUUGGAAACUGGGAGACUUGAGUGCAGAAGAGGAUAGUGGAAUUCCAAGUGUAGCGGUGAAAUGCGUAGAGAUUUGGAGGAACACCAGUGGCGAAGGCGACUAUCUGGUCUGUAACUGA